UUAGAUACCCUAUUAUACUAAUAGUAGCCCCGAUCAUUAAUAGAUAUGAUCUUUUAAACUUAAAGAAUUUGGCGGUGAUUUAGUCUUGUUAGAGGAACCUGUUUUUGAAUCGAUAAACCACGUUAAAUUUUACUCGUUCUUGUAGUCAGCUUAUAUACCGUCAUUAUCAGACAAUUUUUAGAAAAUAAAUUGUUAAAAUUCAAAUGAUGUAUAAAAUUAGAUCAAGGUGUAGCCAAUGAGCGAGUUAAAAUGGGUUACAAUAAAAUUUAUUUAUCACGGAAUAUGUGUAGGAAACUAUAUUAUUAAGGAGGAUUUAAUUGUAGCUACAAGUUUAAUAAGCUUUAGAGAUAUAAGCCCUAAAUCAUGUACAUAUCG
rnacentral:rRNA from 1 species